AUUGAACGCUGGCGGCAUGCCUUACACAUGCAAGUCGAACGGUAACGGGUCCUUCGGGAUGCCGACGAGUGGCGAACGGGUGAGUAAUAUAUCGGAACGUGCCCAGUAGUGGGGGAUAACUGCUCGAAAGAGCAGCUAAUACCGCAUACGACCUGAGGGUGAAAGGGGGGGAUCGCAAGACCUCUCGCUAUUGGAGCGGCCCAUAUCAGAUUAGCUAGUUGGUGGGGUAAAGGCCUACCAAGGCAACGAUCUGUAGUUGGUCUGAGAGGACGACCAGCCACACUGGGACUGAGACACGGCCCAGACUCCUACGGGAGGCAGCAGUGGGGAACUUUGGACAAUGGGCGCAAGCCUGAUCCAGCAAUGCCGCGUGCAGGAAGAAGGCCUUCGGGUUGUAAACUGCUUUUGUCAGGGAAGAAAUCUUCUGGGCUAAUACCCCGGGAGGAUGACGGUACCUGAAGAAUAAGCACCGGCUAACUACGUGCCAGCAGCCGCGGUAA
rnacentral:rRNA from 1 species